GACGAACGCUGGCGGCGGGCCUAAUACAUGCAAGUCGAACGCAGUGGGGACGGGUGAGUAACACGUGGGUAACCUCCCAUCAGAGGGGAUAACACUUGGAAACAGGUGCUAAACCGAUAGUGAUGGAUGGACCCGCGGUGCAUUAGCUAGGUGGGGAGGUAACGGCUCACCAAGGCCACGAUGCAGAGCCGAACUGAGAGGGUGAUCGGCCACACUGUAACUGAGACACGGGCCAGACUCCUACGGGAGGCAGCAGUAGGGAAUCUUCGGCAAUGGGCGAAAGUCUGACCGAGCGACGCCGCGGGAGUGAAGAAGGUUUUCGGAUCGUAAAACUCUGUUGUUGGAUAAGCGGUAUCUAACCAGAAAGCACCGGCUAACUACGUGCCAGCAGCCGCGGUAAUAC
rnacentral:rRNA from 1 species